GCUGGGCGCCUUGGUGCGUGCCUGUAGUCCCAGCUACUCGGGAGCCUGAGUGGGGAGGAUCGCUUGAGCCCUGAAGUUCUGGGCUGUAAUGCAUUAUGCUGAUCGGGUGUCCACACUAAGUUCAGCAUCAAUAUGGUGACCUCCUGGGAGUGGGGGACCACCAGGUUGCCUAAGGAGGGGUGAACCGGCCCAGGUCAGAAAUGGAGCAGGUCAAAACUCCCCUAAUGAUCAGUAGUGGGAUUGCGCCUGUGAAUAGUUACUGCACUCCAGCCUGGGCAACAUAGUGAGACCUCGUCUCUA
ensembl:misc_RNA Metazoa_SRP Metazoan signal recognition particle RNA